AGACGUCUACAUUAGAUACCCGGGUAGUCCCAGCCGUAAACUAUGCGCGUUAGGUGUAUCGGUGGCCACGAGUUACCGAGGUGCCGAAGGGAAACCGUGAAACGUGCCGCCUGGGAAGUACGGUCGCAAGGCUGAAACUUAAAGGAAUUGGCGGGGAGCACCACAACGGGUGGAGCCUGCGGUUUAAUUGGACUCAACGCCGGGAAGCUCACCGGAUAAGACAGCGGAAUGAUUGCCGGGCUGAAGACUCUGCAUGACUAGCUG
rnacentral:rRNA from 1 species